AUCUGUUCUUAUCAGUUUAAUAUCUGAUACGUCCCCCAUCGGGGGACCACAUAUUAAACGGAUUUUUGGAACAGGGAGCUGGAUCA
ensembl:snRNA U2 U2 spliceosomal RNA